GGCGAACCGCCGGUCCUUAUGGUGGUCCCCGAAGGUGUCCCAGAGCCGCAGCGACACGCUGACCUCGUCCACCACAUCGCGGGAGCGCUCCAGCACCUCCUGGCAGACGCGGUACUGAUCGAUGGCCCACACGGUGGGCACGUGCGUGGCCAGCAGCUGGUAUUGGCUCAGCGUCGCGUUGCAGGCGCGGGCGCAGAUGAGGCGCGUUUUGCCCACCGCGUUGUCGCCCACCACCACGCACUUGAUGGUCUCGACGUUGGGCCGCUCGUAAUCCACGUCCAGGUCCAUGGGGUCCCGCCGGCGCUCAGCGCCGCGCCCCGCGCCGCCCCCCCCCCUUCCCCGCG
rnacentral:lncRNA from 1 species